rnacentral:rRNA from 1 species
UACGUAGGGUGCAAGCGUUGUCCGGAAUUAUUGGGCGUAAAGAGCUCGUAGGCGGUCUGUCGCGUCGGCUGUGAAAACCCGGGGCUCAACCCCGGGCCUGCAGUCGAUACGGGCAGACUAGAGUGCGGUAGGGGAGACUGGAAUUCCUGGUGUAGCGGUGAAAUGCGCAGAUAUCAGGAAGAACACCCGUGGCGAAGGCGGCUCUCUGGGACGGUACUGACGCUGAGACGCGAAAGCGUGGGGAGCGAACAGG